rnacentral:rRNA from 1 species
GACGAACGCUGGCGGCGUGCUUAACACAUGCAAGUCGAACGAAGUAGCGAACGGGUGAGUAACGGGUAAUCAACCUGCCCUUCAGAGGGGGACAACAGGUGGAAACGACUGCUAAGACCGCAUACUGAAGGAGGGGAUUGCGUCUGUUUAGCUAGUGGGAGGGGUAACGGCCAACCAAGGCGAUGAUCAGUAGCCGGUCUGAGAGGGUGGACGGCCACAUUUGGACUGAGACACGGCCCCGACUCCUACGGGAGGCAGCAGUGGGGAAUCUUCCGCAAUGGACGAAAGGUUGACGGAGCAACGCCGCGUGAGUGAUGACGGCCUUCGGGUUGUAAAGCUCUGUUAAUCGGGACGCGGUACCGGAAUAGAAAGCCACGGCUAACUACGUGCCAGCAGCCGCGGUAAUAC